AACAAAUGUUUUGAAAUAGUAUGUGUGUGAGACGUCAACAUAAACACAAACACUCUUUUUUGUUUAAAACUUACUAACUCAAAAGAAAAGGCCGAGAGAAAGUUGGUCACUAAGUUAUUAUGCAGGUGAUUUGUGUUUAUCUGUACAGGUGAGAGGACUGAUAAUAAAAAUGUGUGGGAGGAGAAUACCGAAAUAGAAGUCAAUGCGUCAUUCACAGCCAAUCAAAGAACACCAAGUGUCAACUGUGACCUUUAGGAUAUAAUAUAAGACACCUGAAACUGUAAGUUCAAAAUCAAAAAGUAAUGGCUGCCCCAAUAGAGGAUGUCCUCAUUGAGAUCCAUCCAUCUGAUGAUGAACUUGCAGAAAAAGAAGUAAGGGUGAAAGAGAAAAAGGAGACAGGGAAGAGAGGACAAAGGAAAAUGUGGACAGAGACAAAGAGGAGAGUGGAGACAGUCGAAAGGAGAAUGGUAAGGUUGAAAGGUGAAACAUACAACUA